AACUAACGCUAGCGGCGUGCCUAACACAUGCAAGUCGUACGAGAAAGUCGGCUUCGGCCGAUAAGUAAAGUGGCGCACGGGUGAGUAACGCGUGGAUAAUCUACCCUUCAGUCGGGAAUAACCCAUCGAAAGGUGAGCUAAUACCGGAUGAUAUCCCUUGAUUCUCGGAUCGAGGGAUCAAAGAUGGCCUCUGCUUGCAAGCUUUCGCUGAAGGAUGAGUCCGCGUACCAUUAGCUAGUUGGUAGGGUAAUGGCCUACCAAGGCGACGAUGGUUAGCUGGUCUGAGAGGAUGAUCAGCCACACUGGAACUGAGACACGGUCCAGACUCCUACGGGUGGCAG
rnacentral:rRNA from 1 species